GCACCGGCUAACUACGUGCCAGCAGCCGCGGUAAUACGUAGGGUGCGAGCGUUGUCCGGAAUUACUGGGCGUAAAGAGCUCGUAGGUGGUUUGUCGCGUCGUCUGUGAAAUUCCGGGGCUUAACUCCGGGCGUGCAGGCGAUACGGGCUGACUUGAGUGCUGUAGGGGAGACUGGAAUUCCUGGUGUAGCGGUGAAAUGCGCAGAUAUCAGGAGGAACACCGAUGGCGAAGGCAGGUCUCUGGGCAGUAACUGACGCUGAGGAGCGAAAGCAUGGGUAGCGAACAGGAUUAGAUACCCUGGUAGUCCAUGCCGUAAACGGUGGGCGCUAGGUGUAGGGGGCUUCCACGUCUUCUGUGCCGUAGCUAACGCAUUAAGCGCCCCGCCUGGGGAGUACGGCCGCAAGGCUAAAACUCAAAGGAAUUGACGGGGGCCCGCACAAGCGGCGGAGCAUGUGGAUUAAUUCGAUGCAACGCGAAGAACCUUACCUG
rnacentral:rRNA from 1 species